rnacentral:lncRNA from 1 species
AUCUAAAUCCUCUUCAUCUUCCUGUUCUUCCUCUCUCCAGGUACCUCUGGAUUGCUUCAUCCAUGCAGGGCACCCUCCUCUUCCUCCUCAAAAUUCUCUUCCUCCUCUUCAUCUUCCUGUUCUUCCUCUCUCCAGGUACCUCUCAUUGCUCCAUCCAUGCAGGCAAUCCUCAUUUUCCUCCUCUUCCUUCUCUUCCUUUUCUUCCUCUUCUUCCUCAUUUUCCUCUUUUUCCUCCUCUUCCUCCUCUAACUCCUCUUCAUCCUCUUUCUUUUUUUCCUCCUCUUCCUCCUCUUCCUCCUCCUGUUCUUCCUCUCUCCAGGUACCUCUGGAUUGCUCCAUCCAUGCAGGGAACCCUCCUCUUCCUCCUCAAACUCCUCUUCCUCCUCUUCCUCAUCCUUCCUCAUUUUCCUCUUCUUCUUUCCUUUUCUCCUCUUCCUCCUCUUCCUCUUCCUGUUCUUCCUCUCUCCAGAUACCUCUGGAUUGCUUCAUCCAUGCAGGGAACCCUCCUCUUCCUCCUUGAAUUCCUCUUCCUCCUCUUCCUCAUCCUUCCCCAUUUUUCUCUUCUUCUUUCUUUUUCUCCUCUUCCUCCUCUUCCUCAUCCUUCCUCAUUUUCCUCCUCUUCUUUCCUUUUCUCCUCUUCCUCCUCUUCCUCUUCCUGUUCUUCCUCUCUCCAGGUACCUCCGGAUUGCUUCAUCCAUGUAGGGCACCCUCCUCUUCCUCCUCUUCCUCAUCUUUUCUCAUUUUCCUCUUCUUCUUUUUCUCCUCUUCCUCCUCUUCCUCUUCCUCCUCUUCCUCUCUCCAGGUACCUCUGGAUUGCUUCAUCCAUGCAGGGAAUCCUCAUUUUCCUCUUUUCCCUCCUCUUCCUCCUCCUCCUCCUCUUCCUCCUGCCGCCGGCAGUCCCUGGAGGGAGAGCCCAGCUCUCCGCAGUCCGGCUGGAAUUCCCUGUUCCCGGGGAACGUCCCUAUGGAUCCCCAUCACCCCAGAUUCCCCCCGGACAAGGAAAGGGAAUCCUGAGGGAUCCCGGGACCCCUUUGGAGCAGAGGCCCCACAUCUGGCCAACAACUGCCGGCCCUGCCUCGACCUCCCCGCUCACCCCGAGCUCCCUUUUCCCGUUUUUUCCCUUCCCAGCCAGGCAUUCUUCAGCCCAAACAACAUUCUUGGAUGGAGAUUUGAGGGAAUCUGGAGGGAGUCGGUCACCCGGAGACGGAGCAACAGCCGCUGGAAACUCUGAGCGCGGCUGCUCCGGCCCCGCUGGACGCUCCCGGAGCUCCUGGAGCCGCCAGAUUUCCAUGGGAGGUGCUCCACAGCUUCCCUGGCAUGGGCCGAGCUGCCCGCG